rnacentral:rRNA from 1 species
GUCCUAUUGUUUUAUUUAAUAGGUUUGGCCUGCCCAGUGAUAAUUUUAACGGCCGCGGUAUUUUGACCGUGCAAAGGUAGCAUAAUCAUUAGUCUUUUAAUAGGAGGCUGGAAUGAAAGGUUUAACGAGAAAUUGACUGUCUCAAUUACAAAUUUGAAUUUAUCUUUUGAGUCAAAAGGCUCAAAUAUUGUUGAUGGACGAGAAGACCCUAUAGAGCUUUACAUUUUUCUUUCUAAUAGUAAUUAGUUAAAUUAUUUAUUUUUAUUAAGGUUUAUGUUUUGUUGGGGUGACAAUAAAUAUAUACAUAACUUUUAUUAUUUUACUUACAUUAAUUUAUGGGUUAUUGGAUCCAAAAUUUUUGAUCAAUAGUUUAAGUUACCUUAGGGAUAACAGCGUUAUCUUCCUCCAGAGUUCAUAUUUACGGGAAGGGUUGCGACCUCGAUGUUGGAUUAAGAUAAUAAUUAGGUGCAGUAGCUUGAUUAAUAGGUCUGUUCGACCUUUAAACUCUUACAUGAUCUGAGUUCAGACCGG